CCUACGGGGGGCAGCAGUGGGGAAUAUUGGGCAAUGGGGGCAACCCUGAUCCAGCCAUGCCGCGUGUGUGAAGAAGGCCCUCGGGUUGUAAAGCACUUUCAGUGAGGAAGAACGCCUGGUGGUUAAUACCCAUCAGGAAAGACAUCACACACAGAAGAAGCACCGGCUAACUCCGUGCCAGCAGCCGCGGUAAUACGGAGGGUGCGAGCGUUAAUCGGAAUUACUGGGCGUAAAGCGCGCGUAGGUGGCUUGAUAAGCCGGUUGCGAAAGCCCCGGGCUCAACCUGGGAACGGCAUCCGGAACUGUCAAGCUAGAGUGCAGGAGAGGAAGGUAGAAUUCCCGGUGUAGCGGUGAAAUGCGUAGAGAUCGGGAGGAAUACCAGUGGCGAAGGCGGCCUUCUGGACUGACACUGACACUGAGGUGCGAAAGCGUGGGUAGCAAACAGGAUUAGAUACCCCUGUAGUC
rnacentral:rRNA from 1 species